UACGGAGGGUGCAAGCGUUAAUCGGAAUUACUGGGCGUAAAGGGUGCGUAGGUGGUUCGUUAAGUCCGUUGUGAAAGCCCCGAGCUCAACUUGGGAAUUGCAGUGGAUACUGGCGAGCUAGAGUGCGGUAGAGGAAGGUGGAAUUCACGGUGUAGCGGUGAAAUGCGUAGAGAUCGGGAGGAACACCAGUGGCGAAGGCGGCCUUCUGGACCAGCACUGACACUCAAGCACGAAAGCGUGGGGAGCAAACAGG
rnacentral:rRNA from 1 species